CACGAACACAUGCGUAAGAGCAAAGAACCGAACUCCACAUCCAGUAACCGGAGAGCAGAAACUCCGCAACCAGCAACUGAGAAAAAAAACAGCUCCACCACCUAGCAAAAAGGACCCCCAUCAUCCGAAGUAGAUGAGGCACACCCAAAACCUUAAAAUACCCACAAAUCGAGCUCAGUCUAGUGAAGAUCUACAAAUCAAGGAACGUCACCACCAACCAAACUGGAACCUCCCAAACAGUUGCAACAACGGCAGAAACAGGGCAAACUUGCGUCCAAACUAGAUAUGACGACGACCAAAGAGCAAACACGAACGAAAGUUGAGGGUCGCCGGUGGUGUGGAGAACCAACGAUCUCGUCCACCACCAAAGAAAGAUAAUACAUCGGGCCUUGUUGUUUGGAUGCGAAGGGGAAGAAAGGAGGAAGUUUGUGGUGGUGUUUAUUAAGAAGGAAAAGAGAGGUUGAUGGGUAGUGAGAGACGAGCUCUAAACCUGUUAUUUUAAUUAACUCCACUCAGAUCUCGGGGCACUGUUUUUAAUUAAUUUGAAGUACCUUUUGAAUUAGAAGAAUGUGUGAAACUCUUGUGUGAUUAAAUUUUAUUUGUGAUUUAAAUUAGAAAAAUACUAGUUAUGUUAGGGUGUUACAUGUAAUGCUUAUUAAAACAUAAAUUUGUGUGUAUACAUUAUAGUUUAUAUUUAUGGUCUAUC
rnacentral:lncRNA from 1 species